rnacentral:tRNA from 1 species
GGGGUUGUGGCUCAGUGGUACAGUGCUUGCCUAGCACGCAGGAGGCACUGGGUUCGAUCCUCAGCACCACG